CGCGUAGGUGGGAUAGUAAGUCUGCUUUAAAAAGUGCGGGGCUCAACCCCGUGAUGGGGUGGAAACUGCUAUUCUUGAGUGCAGGAGAGGAAAGCGGAAUUCCCAGUGUAGCGGUGAAAUGCGUAGAUAUUGGGAGGAACACCAGUGGCGAAGGCGGCUUUCUGGACUGUGUCUGACACUGAGGCGCGAAAGCUAGGGGAGCGAACGGGAUUAGAUACCCCGGUAGUCCUAGCCGUAAACGAUGGGUACUAGGUGUAGGGGGGUAUCGACCCCCCCCUGUGCCGGAGUUAACGCAAUAAGUACCCCGCCUGGGGAGUACGGCCGCAAGGUUGAA
rnacentral:rRNA from 1 species